UACAGAGGCCACGAGCGUUAGGCGGAAUCACUGGGCUUAAAGCGUGUGUAGGUGGAUGGCUAAGUACCUUGUGAAAUCCCACGGCUCAACCGUGGAACUGCUCGGUAUACUGGUCGUCUUGAGGCACUCAGGGGCGAGCGGAACAGAUGGUGGAGCGGUGAAAUGCGUAGAUAUCAUCUGGAACGCCAAUGGUGAAGACAGCUCGCUGGGGGGUGUACUGACACUGAGACACGAAAGCCAGGGGGAGCGAACGGG
rnacentral:rRNA from 1 species